rnacentral:rRNA from 1 species
AGAGUUUGAUCAUGGCUCAGGACGAACGCUGGCGGCGUGCCUAACACAUGCAAGUCGAACGGACGAGGCCCCUUCGGGGACCGAGUUAGUGGCGGACGGGUGAGUAACGCGUGAGCAACCUGCCUUUCAGAGGGGGACAACAGUUGGAAACGACUGCUAAUACCGCAUGAUGCAGCGAGAUCGCAUGGUCUUGCUGUCAAAGAUUUAUCGCUGAAAGAUGGGCUCGCGUCUGAUUAGCUAGUUGGAGGGGUAACGGCCCACCAAGGCGACGAUCAGUAGCCGGACUGAGAGGUUGAACGGCCACAUUGGGACUGAGAUACGGCCCAGACUCCUACGGGAGGCAGCAGUGGGGAAUAUUGGGCAAUGGGGGAAACCCUGACCCAGCAACGCCGCGUGAAGGAAGAAGGCUUUCGGGUUGUAAACUUCUUUUACCAGGGACGAAGAACGUGACGGUACCUGGAGAAAAAGCCACGGCUAACUACGUGCCAGCAGCCGCGGUAAUACGUAGGUGGCAAGCGUUGUCCGGAUUUACUGGGUGUAAAGGGCGUGUAGGCGGAGCUGCAAGUCAGAUGUGAAAUCUGGGGGCUUAACCCUCAAACUGCAUUUGAAACUGUAGCCCUUGAGUAUCGGAGAGGCAGGCGGAAUUCCUAGUGUAGCGGUGAAAUGCGUAGAUAUUAGGAAGAACACCAGUGGCGAAGGCGGCCUGCUGGACGACAACUGACGCUGAGGCGCGAAAGCGUGGGGAGCAAACAGGAUUAGAUACCCUGGUAGUCCACGCUGUAAACGAUGAAUACUAGGUGUGGGGGGACUGACCCCCUCCGUGCCGGAGUUAACACAAUAAGUAUUCCACCUGGGGAGUACGACCGCAAGGUUGAAACUCAAAGGAAUUGACGGGGGCCCGCACAAGCAGUGGAUUAUGUGGUUUAAUUCGACGCAACGCGAAGAACCUUACCGGGAUUUGACAUCCUACUAACGAAGCAGAGAUGCAUUAGGUGCCCUUCGGGGAAAGUAGAGACAGGUGGUGCAUGGUUGUCGUCAGCUCGUGUCGUGAGAUGUUGGGUUAAGUCCCGCAACGAGCGCAACCCCUAUUGUUAGUUGCUACGCAAGAGCACUCUAGCGAGACUGCCGUUGACAAAACGGAGGAAGGCGGGGACGACGUCAAAUCAUCAUGCCCCUUAUGUCCCGGGCUACACACGUAAUACAAUGGCGGUCAACAAAGGGAAGCAAAGCCGCGAGGCAGAGCAAACCCCCAAAAGCCGUCUCAGUUCGGAUUGCAGGCUGCAACUCGCCUGCAUGAAGCUGGAAUUGCUAGUAAUCGUGGAUCAGAAUGCCACGGUGAAUACGUUCCCGGGCCUUGUACACACCGCCCGUCACACCAUGAGAGUCGGGAACACCCGAAGUCCGUAGUCUAACCCGCAAGGGAGGGCGCGGCCGAAGGUGGGUCUGAUAAUUGGGGUGAAGUCGUAACAAGGUA